UAAGAAGUUCUAAAAAAAUAUUAAAAUAAUCAUAAUAUAUCUUAAAUAAAUCUCAAUCAAGUUUUCAUUUAAUCCUAAUUGAAAUUCUAAUAGACUUCAAUCAAAUCCUAGACAAAUCUUAAAUCCUAAAUCCAACUCUAAUUAAAUCUUAAAAUUUUAAUCAAAUCCUAAAAAAUCUUAAAUUCUAAAUCAAAUUCUAAUCAAACUCUAACCAAGUCCUAUAAAAAUUCCAAAUCCUAGCCAAAUCCUAAAUCCUAAAUCAAAUCCUAGACAAAUCCUAAAGCCUAAAUCAAAUCCUAACCAAA
rnacentral:lncRNA from 1 species